GCGGCGAGCGAAGCGGGAAGAGCCCAGCGCCGAAUCCCCGGGCCCCCCGAGGGCCCGCGGGAACUGUGGCGUAAGGAAGUCCGAGCCCGCGGUCGCGGCGGCGCCGAGGUCCUUCUGAUCGAGGCCUCCUCCGUCCCAGGGCGGGUGUCAGGCCCCUGCGGGCGCCGGCCGGCCGCGGACCAGGGCUUCCGGGAGUCGGGUUGUUUUGUAGCGCAGCCCAAAGGCGGGUGGUAAACUCCAUCCAAGGCUAAAUACCUGCACGAGACCGAUAGAGC
rnacentral:rRNA from 1 species